rnacentral:rRNA from 1 species
AUUAACAGGAUUAGAUACCCUGGUAGUCCACGCUGUAAACGAUGUCGAUUUGGAGGUUGUGCCCUUGAGGCGUGGCUUCCGGAGCUAACGCGUUAAAUCGACCGCCUGGGGAGUACGGCCGCAAGGUUAAAACUCAAAUGAAUUGACGGGGGCCCGCACAAGCGGUGGAGCAUGUGGUUUAAUUCGAUGCAACGCGAAGAACCUUACCUACUCUUGACAUCCAGAGAACUUUCCAGAGAUGGAUAGGUGCCUUCGGGAACUCUGAGACAGGUGCUGCAUGGCUGUCGUCAGCUCGUGUUGUGAAAUGUUGGGUUAAGUCCCGCAACGAGCGCAACCCUUAUCCUUUGUUGCCAGCGGUUCGGCCGGGAACUCAAAGGAGACUGCCAGUGAUAAACUGGAGGAAGGUGGGGAUGACGUCAAGUCAUCAUGGCCCUUACGAGUAGGGCUACACACGUGCUACAAUGGCGUAUACAAAGAGAAGCGACCUCGCGAGAGCAAGCGGACCUCAUAAAGUACGUCGUAGUCCGGAUUGGAGUCUGCAACUCGACUCCAUGAAAUCGGAAUCGCUAGUAAUCGUAGAUCAGAAUGCUACGGUGAAUACGUUCCCGGGCCUUGUACACACCGCCCGUCACACCAUGGGAGUGGGUUGCAAAAGAAGUAGGUAGCUUAACCUUCGGGAGGGCGCUUACCACUUUUGUGAUUCAUGACUGGGGUGAAGUCGUAACAAGGUAUCCAAU